ACCUUGAAUAGAAAUUAUUAUUUAAAUUUUUGUUGAGGCUAUAAAGAAAGUUUUUUGGUAUAAAAGAAAAAUCUUUAAUUUUUAUUAUUUUAAGAGAAAAAAUUUAUUUUAUUAUAGAUAAUUAGUAUUGUGAAAGAAUUUCUUUUAAUUAAAGAAAAGAAAAAUUUAAUUUUUGUACCUUGUGUAUCAGGGUUUAUUAAAAAAAAUAUUUUUAGGUUGAAUAUUUCUCGAAUUAAUAAGAUUUAUAUGCUUAUAAUUUUUAAUGUAGAAAAAUUAUUAAUCAUAAGUUUAUGGGGGUGAAAUGCUAGUCGUUUAUUAAUAUAUCUAGUUUUAAAGGAAAUAAAUUUAAUUUAUAAUUUUAAAAAAUAAUUUUUUAAGGGGUAAUAAUUAUUUUUAAAAUUUUAUAAUUUAAGGGUUGAGCUUUAAAUUAAAAAUAGUACAAAAAAAUUUUAAAAAAUAAGAAAUAAAAAGAUAGAAUUAGUAGUUUUUAUUAUAGUGUUUAAUAACUAAUUUAUUUAAUGGGGAAUUUUUUAUAUUUAAAGUUAAUUUUACUUUUUUUACUUUAAUUUUUAUUUUAAUUUAAAAAAUAAAGGAAUAAUGAUAAAAUUAGUAGAUAUUUAUUUUUAGUACAAAAUUUUAAAAAUUUAAAGAUUUGGUUAAGGAACUCGGCAAAUUUUAUUUUUCACCUGUUUAUUAAAAACAUGUCUUUCAUGAAGUUUAAUUGAAGGUCGGGCCUGCCCAGUGAUUAUUUUAUAUUUAACGGCCGCGGUAUUUUGACUGUGCUAAGGUAGCAUAAUCAUUAGUUUUUUAAUUGAAAGCUGGAAUGAAAGGUUUGAUGAAAAAAUAGCUGUCUCAGCUUAAAAGUUUUGAAUUUUAUUUUUAAGUUAAAAAGCUUAAAUUUUUAUAAAAGACGAGAAGACCCUAUAGAGUUUUAUAUCUAUUUUUAAAAUAAAAUAUGGAAAUUUAAUUUUGUUUUAAAGGGGGGUAUUUAAUUGGGGUGAUUGAAAAAUUUAAUUAACUUUUUUUAUUUUAUUUCAUAAAUAAGUGGAAAAAAUGAUCCUUUUCAAAAGAUUAAAAGAAAAAUUACCUUAGGGAUAACAGCGUAAUUUUUUCUUAGAGUUCAAAUCGAAGAAAAAGUUUGCGACCUCGAUGUUGGAUUAAAAUAAAUUUUUGGUGUAGAAGCUAAAAUAUUAGGUCUGUUCGACCUUUGAAAUUUUACAUGAUCUGAGUUUAGACCGGCGUGAGCCAGGUUGGUUUCUAUCUUUAUUAAAUAAAAGUAUUUUAGUACGAAAGGACCAAAUAUUUCUUUAUUAAAGUCUAUUUUUGGAUAUUAUUAAAAUUAAUAAAAAAAUUAUUGUUUAAGUUUUGUGUUACAUUGGCAGAU
rnacentral:rRNA from 1 species